GACGAACGCUGGCGGCGUGCUUAACACAUGCAAGUCGAACGAAGUGGCGAACGGGUGAGUAACGCGUAAUCAACCUGCCCUUCAGAGGGGGAUAACAGUUGGAAACGACUGCUAAUACCGCAUACUGAAGGAGGGGAUUGCGUCUGAUUAGCUAGUUGGAGGGGAAACGGCCCACCACGGCGAUGAUCAGUAGCCGGGCUGAGAGGAUGAACGGCGACAUUGGGUCUGAGACAAGGCCCAGAACACUACGGGAGGCAGCAGGGGGGAAUCGUCCGCAAUGGACGAAAGUCUGACGGAGCAACGCCGCGUGAGUGAUGACGGCCUUCGGGGUGUAAAGCUCUGUUAAUCGUGAAGCGGUACCGGAAUAGAAAGCCACGGCUAACUACGUGCCAGCCGCCGCGGUAAUAC
rnacentral:rRNA from 1 species